GAUGAACGCUGGCGGCGUGCCUAAUACAUGCAAGUCGAGCGAACAGACGAGGAGCUUGCUCCUCUGACGUUAGCGGCGGACGGGUGAGUAACACGUGGAUAACCUACCUAUAAGACUGGGAUAACUUCGGGAAACCGGAGCUAAUACCGGAUAAUAUAUUGAACCGCAUGGUUCAAUAGUGAAAGACGGUUUUGCUGUCACUUAUAGAUGGAUCCGCGCCGCAUUAGCUAGUUGGUAAGGUAACGGCUUACCAAGGCAACGAUGCGUAGCCGACCUGAGAGGGUGAUCGGCCACACUGGAACUGAGACACGGUCCAGACUCCUACGGGAGGCAGCAGUAGGGAAUCUUCCGCAAUGGGCGAAAGCUUGACGGAGCAACGCCGCGUGAGUGAUGAAGGGCUUCGGAUCGUAAAACUCUGUUAUUAGGGAAGAACAAAUGUGUAAGUAACUAUGCACGUCUUGACGGUACCUAAGCAGAAAGCCACGGCUAACUACGUGC
rnacentral:rRNA from 1 species